rnacentral:rRNA from 1 species
UACAUAGGGUGCGAGCGUUACUCGGAAUUACUGGGCGUAAAGCGUGCGUAGGCGGAUAUUUAAGUCAGGGGUGAAAUCCCAGAGCUCAACUCUGGAACUGCCUUUGAUACUGGGUAUCUCGAGUAUGGAAGAGGUGAGUGGAAUUCCGAGUGUAGAGGUGAAAUUCGUAGAUAUUCGGAGGAACACCAGUGGCGAAGGCGGCUCACUGGUCCAUUACUGACACUGAGGUGCGAAAGCGUGGGGAGCAAACAGG